rnacentral:rRNA from 1 species
UACAGAGGGUGCAAGCGUUGUUCGGAAUUAUUGGGCGUAAAGGGAGUGUAGGCGGCUCUUUAAGUCUUCUGUGAAAUCUACGGGCUUAACCUGUAACGUGCAGAGGAUACUGAGGAGCUUGAGUGUCGGAGAGGAUAGUGGAAUUCCCGGUGUAGAGGUGAAAUGCGUAGAUAUCAGGAGGAACACCUGUGGUGUAGACAGCUUACUGGACCAUUUCUGACGCUGAGACACGAAAGCGUGGGUAGCAAACAGG